CGUCAUGAAAACGCCGAUGAUUUGCUUUCUUCUUUUAAAUCUUUUUAUUUCAUCUUCUGCGAGGAGUCUUACAAGAUCGCAAGAGCCAAAUUAUAUUUAUUCCGAAUCUGAAGAGAGCUAUUAUGAUCCAUAUAUUGCCAACGAACAAUUCAUUCCUUAUAGAAGUCCCAUGCAUAAACGCAUUGCAAUGGGCGUAGACUUGGCAGAUUAUUUGAUUCACAGAGUUAAAGAACCAGAUUUAAUGAAACAGAUGGUGCAAUAUGGACGAAGAUAAAAUGUUUCGAUUUAAGAGAUUUUUCACAUUUAAAAAGAUGUGGAGAAAGAGAUUCAAAUAAAAAAGAUAAAUGUCAGAAUAUGAACUCUAUAUAAACAUCCAUUUUUCUCUUUAGAUAAGAGCAUUACAA
rnacentral:lncRNA from 1 species